AUGCUCUCAGGCACCUUCUGGGGUUCCUAGGGCUGUCCUGUGCAGGGCCAGGAGCUGGAAUUCAUUGGUCCUUAUGGGUUUCUUCAAGCUCAGCAUAUUCUAUGAUGACUGUGGAGAUUCAUUUGGGAGUGCCUGUACACCUCCAUGGACCUGGAAAUGCUGAGUGGAUCAUUUCUUCACGGUGGUUCAGAGAAGCCAGAGUCUGUACAAGAUAAGAGACCCUUUGACUGAAUCCCUUGUGCACUGGGGGUUCUAGCAGUCCCAGCAGUUUGAGGUACCAUGUCUUCAUCUGGGAAAUAAUUCCUGUCUUUCCACCAAAGGGAUCUAAGAAAGAGAUAAAAAGGAUGCCUUUGGACCAAAUAAAUUAUCUUCUCAUCUACUUUGGUUCUGCUGAACAUCAGCACAGGCAUAUUAAGAGCAAAGAUUUGAAAGCAACUCUUCCUGUCUGCAAGCAAAAGGCUGGGACAACACCUGAUGGAUGGGAUCCUGACAGGAUUAGCAAAAGCCCAGAACUGAGCUUCCAGAAAACACUGCUGACAAGCAGGAUUCACAAACUUUCAGAUUUUGAUCUCUGCUUGUUUUUGUGCAAUAGUCCAAGGGGUCUUUGAAAGAACAUGUUUCACCACUCUGUCCUUCCAGAGAGACCACAUGUCAAUUCUAUACUGAGAGACCUUGGCAGCAGUGGCUGCCUUUCUGCUCAUCUCCUUCAGCUGCACUUUUCACAGAACUCUCCUUUUUUUUCCCUCUUUGUCUCCUGCUUAGUAAUAUCUCCUUCUGUUUGUCCUUGAUUUGAACAACUGAGAAUGUGCCUAUGUGUUCUCUACACUGGAUUUUUGAAUGAGUGCCUACUGGGCAGCUGGUGUUGUUGGCAUUUUGGUCCAGACUGGUGAGAAGAAAGGAGAAGCACUUGGAUUCAGAACUCCAAAAAUUGAAACCACCUCAUUUUUCAUCCCCUUUGAUUAACUCGCUGGUUUAUUUGCCUGUAACAAUGACAAAUGACACCACCAGCUGAUGCUAUCACAUUUGGCAGAGUCAUCCUGGUUUUGAACUCGUCAAUUAAAAUUCUACAUUUUAUGGUAAUGCAUCACAAGCUCUUGGGAGGAAAAUGGCUCUGACAGAUACAAGCUAAGUAGGAAUCUAAAAGGUUCCCAACAGUAUGAACAAAUAGUUCCUUCAUGUCCUAUUUAUUCAGAACUAGUAAUAUUCACCAAUGUUGCUCACUACCAUGAUUAUAGGAUGUCUGUGUUUUAUUCUGAUUGGGUUUUUUGUCCGCUUUACUGUGAGUCUAAUGGUGAUGUUAUUUACACCAGUGUAAGCUGGAACUGCUUUCACAAAAAUUGACUGCUGGCUUUGCAGUAGUCCAGGCUCCAGAAAGGCUAAAAAUGCCUCAUCCAAGCAGCUGAGGGCAGGUGGUUGCUUGUUGAAGCAGAGAUCUCACUUUUUACUUGAAACCUGGUUCCUGCCUUCCUGGCUUUUUGGAGAGGCUCUCUGAGUGCAGACAUCUCAAACCAAGAGAGCAAACUAAAACUUCAAGUGUUGUAUUCUUCCCCUCUUAUUGUUGCCUGAGGGGUGCCUGGGAAGGUGUCUCAUGGCUAUUUUCAGGGCAGAUACUGCUGAAUGUCAGGGCUUUGCAAGGAAGUUACCCCAUGCCUGUUGCAUCCAUUGAUGCCAGCAACAGUUUUGGUCUCCAAGAUUCUCUGCUUGUGGAAUGGAUCAAACCCUCUCCUGUCCUGUAUUGCAUCUGAAAUAUUUUUCAUCCAAUGGAGAGGAACACACCUUCCAGCUCCCCCAGCCUACAUGCUCCAUUAGGGGAUCAUGAAUCCCACCUACUGUCCUAAAAUCCAGUUGAAUUGCCAUCGUGAAUUGAACAAGUGAAUUCAAACUUUGACCCUGCAAGAUCUGUACCCAAAUUCUCAUGUCCCUGCAAGCCAUAGAACAUGUCCAGGAAAAGGAGAUAGAAGGAAAUCUUCAGGAGAAGCUCCAGGCAUGGCUCACAGGGGAUUGAAUCAUUCCCUUGAGUGUUUCCCUGCAAGACAGGAGCAAGAAGACAAUUUGGACUUUUUUUGCUAACCCACACACAGAGGAAUGGGGGUUGUGUUCAGACCCACAUUUCUGGGGAACAGCUCUAGUAAAAUCAGGGAUGUGAUGAUCUGUGCUUGCUGCUGUGAGCUCUGAAGCACAUGGAAGAGGAGGAUGAGUCAGGAACCACACACCUGGAGCUGUGCAGGAGGCAUAGGUAGACCUAAAAGGCCUUGAAUUUGACAUGAAAUCUAAUUUUUGCAGGCAAAGCUAGCAGAAUGAAUGGCUGUGUUCUAAGUCUGACCUGUAAAAUGCAAAGUACUCAUAUCCCCCCCCAUCACCUCCUGUGGUGCUGUUAGUAAUUAAUUCAGCACAUCUGCUAAUGCUCCUUGUCUCUCUCCGCUGCCCAUGGCUCUUGUUUAAAUGUUAAUACCGCAUGUGCUACCUUUUAUCUGGAGAUGAAGAUGGAUUGCUGUGUCAGACUGGAUUUAAAUUCAUUUUUGCUGUUAAAAAUUCGAAAUUAUAUUGAAAGGUUGUAUGAAGUCCAAGACCUCUCUGGUCUACUGUGGUUAAUUAGCUGCUACAGAUAUUGUGCAUUCAAUCAAAUUGUUCUCAGUGCAUUAAAUUUGGUUAUUAAACACUUGAAAUAGUUAAGAUAUUAGCAAUGCUUGAUCGCUGGAAGGUCACACUCUUGGUUACUCAUCCAGGCUGUGUGUCAGGCAAUUUAAGUGCAAAUGGAUUUGUGGGUUGAAGAGCCCUCUGAGAAGGGAUUUGGUAAUGGUUGGCAGAUUUGCACAGGCACUGAGGAUGUAGUGGGAGGCUGGGGCUGAUGAGAUGGGUUCUUCAUGCAGCAGACCAGGUGAGAUCUGUCCCUGCUUGCAGGCUCCACCAAGGAAACAGUUUUUGUGAGGGACCUACUGAAAAGGUCCUGUCAGGCUGUUUGUAGGAAGGGAGGGGAUUGCUCCAAAUCAAUUCAGAUGCGAGUGAAAAAAAGCUUUCAAUGGUGACAUGAAAUUGGGAAGGGAGCUACCACACAUAAAUGGAAAUAAAUCUCUUUGGGCUGAUACUCUGGAAAGCGUUAGCUUUUGACAAAGCCUUGUGAUCACAGACAAGGAAGACAUAUCUUAAAGAUGCUUCUGGUGGCACCAGCAGCCAGAAGAAAGCUCUUGAGUGGUGGUGUGGGCUCUACCCAGACUGUCUGAAGGCAUCAUCGAUGUGGCUGAGACAACCUGUGGGGUACCUAACACAGACACCUUCAUCUGAGGGAUGGGGACACUGAGGCAGGAGGUUCAUCAAGGUAACAGACAACAGAAACCUCAGCUUUUCUAGAAACUAACCCAAAGUUUCUCCAUUGCCCAGAGUGCACCUCAGUGCUUUGUUGGGGUUAUUAAAGACAGCCCUCAGCACCUGUCUGCAGGGAUGAUGCUGCAGCAUGGGGUCCGUAUUUCAAAGCAAUGUAACAACUCCUCCCUCCUCACCUGCUGCCUCCGUGUCCCUAAUCCUAAUGAGGGAAUACUCAAUUCCCCCAAAAAAGUGCAGCAAGCCGUGCUGCACCCCUGUUUCUUAUUCCAGGAGCUCCCUAAAAAUCACUAUUGCUCUCUGCUCCUCUGCAGGAAUGUGCGCGUUCGUCUUCAUAGGUCCUUUUUUGGGAAAAAUACAAAGAAGAGGUUAUUCUUUCUCCCUCCACUGGCCAUGUGCUAUCUCCCAGCCCCGCAGGCUGCAGCUGCUUCUCUUUGUCAGAGGAUUUUGGCUGGGCUGCCGCGAUAAUUACACAGCUGGGCAGUGGGAAAUCCCGCCCAGUAGCUGACGCCUGCCUAAUCGCCGCUGGUUGUGUUCGGAGGCUCCAGGACCUGCUGUAAUAACACAGCCACUUAAUUAGUCUUUUCCUGAGCAAAGGCCUUGGAAAGCAAAGCAGUCGCAGCUUCCUAGAUCCUCUUAACUAUGGCUGUCUGGCAUUUCACCCACCUCUCCAUUUGUGAAGCUCUCACCACGAGCAGCUCCAGCUCACCACCCAAGCUAACUGCUCCAUAUGUGAAGGUGACCAGCUGUUGAUUGAGUGUUGCAGAGAUCUUUGGAGAACAGUGUGCACUCAGCUUGGAGAUGAAGGGCUAAAUUCAGACCAUUUGUGCUCUUGGCAUGCUGCUCCUCCUCAUCGCUGUGUGUUUGCUUUAGAAGUCUGACUGGCUGACAUGCCCCGGCCGCCAGCUAAUGCGGAUUAAUUCUGACUCCCUUCAGGCUUCAAGGAAACAGAUUGUGGAGGGGUUUUCAUCACAAGGGGAAUGAAAGAAGCUAGCAGAGUAUCUUAACCCAAACCACGUCACCCAUUGCUUUCAAUCAGAAAGGAGGACAGAUGAGAUUAACCUCAAAACCCCCCCGGCUUCCUUGCGGACACUGCAGACCACAGUACCGAGUAAGAGAGGAAUGUGGGAAGAGGAUGAUUUUUUUUUUGUAGGAAACUGGACUUAGGACUGUAAGGAACUGGACUUAGUACAUCAAGCCCAUUCUACACUGGCCACAGAACAGUCAUCAGAGGGUGUUGACUUUUGACCACUACUGUUUUUGUUAACAGGAAAAAUAAAACCAUAUGUUGCCUAA